rnacentral:lncRNA from 1 species
CUGUCCUUCACACAGUUCUUUGUGCUGUUGCUGUGGAGCCAAAGGAAGUUGAGGAGGCUGGGGUGCCACCACAGAGGCCUGGAGAGGCAUCUUUUCAAACUGGAAGGAAAAGUUGCCCACAGCACCCUGGCAUGCUUCAGAAGUGAUACAGGUGUCAAAUGUGGCUUGACGGGACUGGAGCCCACUAAGGUGGCCCUGGAUAUGGAGCGCUUCUGGGAGUGGGCAGUGGUGCUGGCGGACACUGUGGUCUCCAGUGGCACAUGCUACCGGGAGGUGCCAAUUUACAGAUUUCCAGAGUCCAGUGAUGUCUGCCUUUGCUCUUUAGGAUGGAGAGCUGCUGACCCAUUCAGGGCUCAAGGCACCCAAGGACCUCUAG